rnacentral:rRNA from 1 species
UACCCAAUCCUAACUCAGGGAGGUAGUGACAAUAAAUAUCAAUGCGGGGCUUUUUCAAGUCUUGCAAUUGGAAUGAGUACAAUCUAAAUCCCUUAACGAGGAUCAAUUGGAGGGCAAGUCUGGUGCCAGCAGCCGCGGUAAUUCCAGCUCCAAUAGCGUAUAUUAAAGUUGUUGCAGUUAAAAAGCUCGUAGUUGGAUUUCUGUGUCAAGCUUCUGGUCCGCUGCACUGCGGUGCUGACUAAGUUGCGUUGACUCAUCCUUGUGGGAAUCAGUCUGGGCUUCAUUGUCCGGCUGUUGCACCGCAUCUUUUACUGUGAAAAAAUUAGAGUGUUCAAAGCAGGCUUACGCUGUGAAUACAUUAGCAUGGAAUAAUAAGAUAGGACUUUGGUUCUAUUUUGUUGGUUGGAGACCAAGGUAAUGAUUAAUAGGGAUAGUUGGGGGUAUUCAUAUUUAAUUGUCAGAGGUGAAAUUCUUGGAUUUAUGAAAGAUGAACUUAUGCGAAAGCAUUUACCAAGGAUGUUUUCAUUAAUCAAGAACGAAAGUUAGGGGAUCGAAGAGGAUUAGAUACCCUCGUAGUCUUAACUAUAAACUAUGCCGACUCGGGAUUGGAGGGCGUAUAUUAAUGAGCCUUUCAGCACCGUAUGAGAAAUCAAAGUCUUUGGGUUCCGGGGGGAGUAUGGUCGCAAGAUUGAAACUUAAAGGAAUUGACGGAAGGGCACCACCAGGAGUGGAGCCUGCGGCUUAAUUUGACUCAACACGGGGAAACUCACCAGGUCCGGACAUAGUAAGGAUUGACAGAUU